rnacentral:rRNA from 1 species
AAUGAACGCUGGCGGCAUGCCUUAUACAUGCAAGUCGAACGGAAGCGCGAAAAUCUUUCUGCUCUCGAGUGGCCAACGGGCGAGUAAUUCACCCGUACGUACCCUGCCUAUGGGGCUAACAAAACUUAAGAAUAGCUAAUCUAACAUCCGAUAUGAGUUUGAACCUCGUGGAUCGAAAGUGGCCUCCUGUAUUACGAGCGGUCGUUGAUUGAUCCGCUUUUCAUUAGCUAGUUGGUACGGUAACGGCCUACCAAGGCAACGAUGCGUAGCCGACCUGAGAGGGUGAUCGGCCACACUGGAACUGAGACACGGCCCAGACUCCUACGGGAGGCAGCAGUAGGGAAUUUUGCGCAAUGGGCGCAAGCCUGAUGCAGCAAUGCCGCGUGAGUGAAGAAGGCCUUCGGAUUGUAAAACACUUUUAUCCGGGAAGAAAAUAUGCUGAUGAAUACGUGGCGUGGUUGACGGUACCUAAAGAGAAAGCACCGGCUAACUACGUG